rnacentral:rRNA from 1 species
UACGUAGGGGGCAAGCGUUGUCCGGAAUCAUUGGGCGUAAAGCGCGUGUAGGCGGCUUGGUAAGUCUGCUCUGAAAGCCCGGGGCUCAACCCCGGGAGGCGGGUGGAUACUGUCAAGCUCGAGUCCGGAAGAGGAGUGUGGAAUUCCUGGUGUAGCGGUGAAAUGCGCAGAUAUCAGGAGGAACACCAAUGGCGAAGGCAGCACUCUGGGCCUGUUCUGACGCUGAGGAGCGAAAGCGUGGGGAGCGAACAGG